rnacentral:rRNA from 1 species
AACUCUCAGAAAUGGAUAUCUCAGCUCUUGCAUCGAUAAAGAAUGUAGGAAAAUGAGAUACUUAGUGUGAAUUAUAAAAUCUCAUGAACCAUCGAUUCUUUGAACAUAACUUGCACCCAAAUCUAUUAGACCAAGAUUACGUCUACCUAGACGUCA